UUUACCCGUCUUUUGACCGCUUAGGGUUUUGGAAAUUAGCAAAUCUCGCUGGGUUUAGCGGGUCGGAGGCAGGUCACGAUGCAGCUUAUACGCCGGGGAAGUCAAUAUAUGCCGCAGCGGGCUGUGAGUCUGUGACCAGCGCUUGGCUCGACGGAUAGUAUUUUGUGCAUCAGAGGCGGAGCUUGCCCCCGAUUCCUGCGCGACGGCGCUGCGGACGGGUUUAUCGCUUAGUUUGCGAUGACAUUGGCACGGGAAACCAGGUAACCGUGCGCUAAACCGUUUCCGCGGUGCAGGUUGAGCUGACGGUUUGUCUCGUUCCCCCGGGCGACGCCUGAACUGCACUAGGCACAUCCAGGAUUAUCCAUUCCCCUGACAGGACGUGUAGGACGGAUUCACGGUGAGGGUACCUAGGGCACGCGCCCGGGCUCCGAGCCGCCUCGUGCCGGAGCUACGGCGAGGUUCUGCGGCCGGGAGCCGGGUGUGCCUCCGAAGAGGACGAGCAUAUCAUCUCCCUCUCUCUCUCUGUCCAGAUCUGGGCUCUCUCUUGGGCUUUGUUCUCUCCCUGCGAUGGAUCUCAGCCAGGCCAAUUUCCUCUCCAGAAAAAAAAAAGCCUGGCCAAUCGCGCCCGAUGGAUCAACUCUUUGCUGGUCAGUGGUCACCUCCUUCGGUCCUUGGGCUAAAAAAAAACCUCCCCUGGUCCUCCCCGUCCGCAUGUCUGUCUCCCUCUCUAAAUCUGAGAAUCCCCAAAGGUCUCCGGGCUACGGACUCCGACGAGGGUAGUGCACACGUGGCGGGCAGGUCAGGCCGGGCUGGACCUCAGGCGGGCGGUGGCAGGAAUAGCAAACGCCCGGCGCGGCACACGGCAAUUCCGAUAUGUUUUUGAUAGAUUUGCUAGGAGCAAAUGUUCCGCCAUUUUGGUUCCCUGCCGCAGCAUAGCUGGUUUCCUUUUUUAGAAAUUGGAUAGCUGGUUUCCUAAUUGUAAGCCUUUCAAAGUACUGACGUUUGUGCCACUGAUGUAUGGCUCUGCGAUGUUUAGAUAGACUAAAUGUAAUUUUUAUUUGAUACUAGUUGGACAAAAUAGGUGCCCUUGAGCUUGGAGACUUCCUAGGUGAGUUCUCUGACCUGAAAUAUAAUUGUAUAAACAUUUUGGUAGCCUAAGUAGAAGCAUUUCCAUUGCCAGUAUGUGGUUCUUGCGGCAAUAUUCUCUGCUACGGACUUCUGUAUGCACCUUGCAAGUUUUAAGCCAAGAUGAGACACCCUUCUUGUACAGUUUGGCUUUUGGUGAAGAUGUUAUCGAAGAUGCGAGAUCAGUUGUGUUUUUCAAUGCAGUCCAGAACUUUGACCUUGCAAAUUUCAGUAGCUUGAAAUUCUUACAACUUGUUGGCAGUUUUCUUCAUCAGUUCAGCACCAGCACCUUUCUCAGAGUAGCUGUAAGACGUAAGUUCUGUCAUGUUCCCCCAUUCCGCUUUGCCAAUUUUUGUUUUUCUUACUGAAGAGUGUUAUAACUGUAGACUGGACUUCUCAGUGCUUAUAUCAUCAAGAAACUGUACUUUGACAGGUCUGUACUUAACAGAUCUAAUUUCACUGUUAUGACUUGCCUCUAAUUUUGCAUUCUUUGCAGGCACUCAACUGAUCGUGAAGUUUCUAUUAUGAUGCUCAUGGCUUAUUUAUCUUGCAUGCUGGCUGAAGCACCCGACACUACCAAAUCAUAUUGGUUCAAUGAUAUCACUUGAUUCAACACUGUCAGCUAGCUCUAAAUGAUAUGUACUCUGUCGCAAAGUUUGGGCGUCUUUUUUUCUCCAGUAGUUUGGUAUUGUCAAUCUUUGUUUUGCUGUGAGUGCUACUUAUUAGUGGAGUCCAUGUGAUUACAAUUUCAUUAUCUGUAAAUAGCUACACAUAUAACAAUAUUUGUUGCUUGCCUUGUUUAAAUAGUGGAGUCCAUGUGGUAAAUAUUUGUAGCUUGCCUUGUUUAAAGGUGACUGUACAAGUAUCGCUAUUCAUGUAUUUUCUUGCUACAUUCAUGAUUUAAUCCAUAAAUUGAUUUAAUGGGUCAUUUAUAGGUAGCUUCUUUGAGUUUUCGUUUCAGCUUUCUAACCCUUGAGUGAUUCAUACUCCUUUUCUGUAGGAGAGGAGAUGCCUCAAUGAUGACUCCAUGUCCAAAGGCCAAAUAGAACUGAUCUAGUACAUUUGAAGAUAGCCUGUCUCAAUUCAUGCAGGAGUAUUGUGAACAAUAUGUAUUGUGCUGUUUGAAUUGGCUGUUGGAAACUUGUUUCGAAUAUUGUGGACAAGAUGAAUCAAUCCAAAAUUCGUGUCUGUUCGUGUGGACAA